rnacentral:rRNA from 1 species
UACGAAGGGGGCUAGCGUUGUUCGGAAUCACUGGGCGUAAAGCGUACGUAGGCGGACCAUUAAGUCGGGGGUGAAAUCCCAGGGCUCAACCCUGGAACUGCCUUCGAUACUGGUGGUCUGGAGUCCGGGAGAGGUGAGUGGAACUCCUAGUGUAGAGGUGAAAUUCGUAGAUAUUCGGAAGAACACCAGUGGCGAAGGCGACUCACUGGACACGUAUUGACGCUGAGGUGCGAAAGCGUGGGGAGCAAACAGG